rnacentral:rRNA from 1 species
GAUGAACGCUGGCGGCGUGCCUAAUACAUGCAAGUCGAGCGAACAGACGAGGAUCUUGCUCCUCUGACGUUAGCGGCGGACGGGUGAGUAACACGUGGAUAACCUACCUAUAAGACUGGGAUAACUUCGGGAAACCGGAGCUAAUACCGGAUAAUAUAUUGAACCGCAUGGUUCAAUAGUGAAAGACGGUUUUGCUGUCACUUAUAGAUGGAUCCGCGCCGCAUUAGCUAGUUGGUAAGGUAACGGCUUACCAAGGCAACGAUGCGUAGCCGACGUGAGAGGGUGAUCGGCCACACUGGCACUGAGACACGGUCCAGACUCCUACGGGAGGAAGCGGUAGGGAAUCUUCCGCAAUGGGCGAAAGCCUGACGGAGCAAAGCGGCGUGAGUCAUGAAGGUCUUAUGAUCGUAAAACGCUGUUAUUCGGGAAGAACAAAUGUGUAAGUAACUAUGCACGUAUUGACGGUACCUAAUCAGAAAGCCACGGCUAACUACGUG